GGACCCGCACAAGUAGUGGAGCAUGUGGUUUAAUUCGAAGAUACGCGCAGAACCUUACCAACACUUGACAUGUUCGUCGCGACUUUAAGAGAUUAAAGUUUUCGGUUCGGCCGGACGAAACACAGGUGCUGCAUGGCUGUCGUCAGCUCGUGUCGUGAGAUGUUGGGUUAAGUCCCGCAACGAGCGCAACCCUCACUUUUAGUUGCCAUCAUUAAGUUGGGCACUCUGAAAGAACUGCCAGUGAUAAGCUGGAGGAAGGUGGGGAUGACGUCAAGUCCUCAUGGCCCUUACGUGUUGGGCUACACACGUGCUACAAUGGUAUCUACAACGAGUCGCAAUACCGCGAGGUGGAGCAAAUCUCUUAAAGCUUGUCUCAGUUCGGAUAGGAGUCUGCAACUCGACUCCUUGAAGUUGGAGUCGCUAGUAAUCG
rnacentral:rRNA from 1 species